GAUGAACGCUGGCGGUAUGCUUAACACAUGCAAGUCGAACGGACUCUUCGGAGUUAGUGGCGGACGGGUGAGUAACGCGUGAGAAUCUGGCUUUGGGUUCGGGACAACCACUGGAAACGGUGGCUAAUACCGGAUGUGCCGAGAGGUAAAAGAGAAAUUGCCUGAAGAUGAGCUCGCGUCUGAUUAGCUAGUUGGUGAGGUAAAGGCUCACCAAGGCAGCGAUCAGUAGCUGGUCUGAGAGGAUGACCAGCCACACUGGGACUGAGACACGGCCCAGACUCCUCCGGGAGGCAGCAGUGGGGAAUUUUCCGCAAUGGGCGAAAGCCUGACGGAGCAAUACCGCGUGAGGGAAGAAGGCUCUUGGGUUGUAAACCUCUUUUCUUAGGGAAGAACAAAAUGACGGUACCUAAGGAAUCAGCAUCGGCUAACUCCGUG
rnacentral:rRNA from 1 species